UUUAGAACUUUUUGAUAUUACAAGGACUCCGUGUUUCGUGUAGGCUUACCCCGGCACGACGUUUUAAUUAACCGGUCAAAUCUCUCUCAGACAAGAUGGGCGGACCGGAAACCCAAUGACAACACUCGGGUCUGUAGCUGCCAUUUUCCCUUGGGGAAAGAGAAAUAGCUCUGUAUUUACCAGAUAAGGAAGCUCAUCCACCAUGACAGAAGAGGAAGAUCCAGACUGUUGAUUGGGAAACAAGAACAAACAAUGAGGAUUUCGAUGUUGAGGGACCACUUGUCACAUUUUCCAAGGAGGUCCAACAGGAGUGCUACACUCAAGGACAUCCUGUGCCAAUGUGAUCCGAGCGCGAGCAUCUAGUUGUAGAGACUACAGCAGAUCGAGCCUGUGGACGGACAGACACCAGGCGUAACAUGCGGAACAUCAGGCUCACCCCACGAGAAGCAAUGCAUGAUCAACACCACCCUCAGCCAGGAGACCUGUUGGAAGUCAUGUUCUCUCUCACUCUGGGGGGGGGGGUAAGACAUGCAUGAUCAACACCCCCCUCAGCCAGGA